AAAUAAAGUAUCACUACUAACAUGUGUCUUUUCCAGGAUUUUGCUUGGCUUCUGAAAAACUAAGGGUAUAUAUUAAUGAAGUAGGGUUUUUUCCUCUAUGGUUCUGGAUGAAUUGAACAAAGGUUGUAUUAUGCGAAGUUUCCAUUUGAUGACAGCUUGCCCAUUCUGGACUUGUCAGUAGCAAGGUGUGGUGGGAUUCUUAAUUGUAGGCUAUACUGUAUUUUGUUUAUAAGAGACAUAUAACUACAAAGGAUAUUACUAAGAAGCAGUUGUGAGCUAUUAUCAACUGAAUUCUUCCUAUUCCACAAAACAAAAAGGAACUCCACACAAAUGACAGUUUUCACUAGAAUUUUAAAUUAUCCUUAAAUUCUAAACACUUUUUCAUUCUUACACCAGUGAGAAGCCUUGCUUUGUCAUUUCAAAAGUGGAACAUUGGGUGAGUUUUGUUCAUGACAGACUGCUUAUUUGACUCUCUGCACCAUGCAUUUUCCCUGAGCAGGUGCGGGCGUUCUAUACAAAGGUUCUGAGUGAAGAGGAGAGGAAACGCCUAUGUGAGAACAUUGCUGGCCAUCUGAAGGACGCACAACUUUUCAUCCAGAAGAAAGCGGUCAAGAACUUCAGUGAUGUCCAUCCUGACUAUGGGGCCCGCAUUCAGGCUCUUUUGGACAAAUACAACGCUGAGAAACCUAAGAACGCGAUUCACACCUUUAUGCAGCAUGGGUCUCACCUGGCUGCAAGAGAGAAAGCCAACCUGUGAGAGUCGGGGCCCUGGGCCCGCCCCGAGUUGCUCUCCGCCUGUGAAGCAAAGUGUGGUGUUCACACGUGUACCCACUCUUCGCCGGGUAGAAGAUUCUCCUGUGCUAGGUGCGCAAAUGCAAGCUUAUGUCUUUAAAAAAUGAUAAUCCAGGUUUCUAUAGCAAGUAAUGUAGUGGUGGCUUUUAGUGCUAUUUCCCUAGGGGAAGAAAGGGUAGGGCUUAACAAUGUUGUAAAAGAAAAUGUAUUUGCUUUUGACGGUUGGAUUAUUCACUUAAAAUGACUAGAAUGAAAGUUUCUGGCAGAAAUAUGAUUGUAUUUGAUAAGAAAAAAAUCUCGGUGAAAUCAGUAUGUUUACAUAUCAUCUCAUGGCCUUAUUAUAUAAAAAUAUGGCUAUAAUUAUAUAAGAAGAAAAGAUUAUCUACUCAGAAAUUUUAAUUUUUCUCAGUUCCAUACAGGAAAAACACAUUUAAUGCACUGAAAAUAAUUUCAUUGACAUCAUAGCUUAAUGCUUAUUCCUGCCUGGAACUGAUCAGAUAUUUUUAAAUUUGGAAUUACAUCUAUGCUAAUAUAGCAUUGAUUUUGCAACAGACUGAUUUGUAAUUGCUACAUUUUUACAAUAAAAUAAUCUAUACAUAAGAA